UACGGAGGGAGCAAGCGUUACUCGGAAUUAUUGGGCGUAAAGGGCGCGUAGGCGAUCUGAAAAGUUCUGUGUGAAAGCCCACAUGUUAACUGUGGAAGUGCACAGAAAACUGUUGGAUUUGAGUUCAGGAGAGGAAGGCAGAAUUCCCGGUGUAGCGGUGAAAUGCGUAGAGAUCGGGAGGAAUACCAGUGGCGAAGGCGGCCUUCUGGACUGACACUGACGCUGAUGAGCGAAAGCUAGGGGAGCAAACGGG
rnacentral:rRNA from 1 species